UACGUAGGGGGCAAGCGUUGUCCGGAUUUAUUGGGCGUAAAGAGCGUGUAGGCGGCCAGGUAGGUCUGCUGUGAAAACUCGAGGCUUAACCUCGAGCUGUCGGCGGAAACCAUCUGGCUAGAGUCCGGAAGAGGAGAAUGGAAUUCCCGGUGUAGCAGUGAAAUGCGUAGAUAUCGUAAGGAAGGCCGGUGGCGAAAGCGAGCCUCUGGACAGUUACUGACGCUGAUGCACGAAGGCCAGGGGAGCAAACGGG
rnacentral:rRNA from 1 species